rnacentral:rRNA from 1 species
UACAGAGGCCUCAAGCGUUGUUCGGAUUUAUUGGGCGUAAAGGGUGCGUAGGCGGUACCGAAAGUUAGGUGUGAAAGUUCGGGGCUCAACCUCGAAAUUGCACCUAUACUCCGGUGCUUGAGUCUCAUAGAGGAAGUCUGGAAUUCACGGUGUAGCAGUGAAAUGCGUAGAUAUCGUGAAGAAGGCCUGUGGCGAAAGCAAGAUUCUGGGUGACGACUGACGCUGAGGCACGAAAGCCAGGGAGCAAACGGG